AGAAGUGAAAGGGCAUCUUGGGUCUGGGCACAGUAUCAGGGAGGUUGGCGUGUAUGUUACACAUCAGGGAGUGGAGAACUGAAACAGGAGAAGUAGUUGGAGUCCAAGGAGCCUGGCCUUUAUAUGUCAUGGCAGCCACAGAAGGGUUUUACGGAGGAGAGUGCCAUGGGCAGCCAAACAGGUGGCACGUGGAACAGAGAUGGAGAACUGAUGGCCACAGCAGAAUGUACCUAGGCUUGGAGGAGACCAGCAGGCUCUGGGAUGCUGCUUGGGUAAGAAAGGGACUCAGGCUUGCAGUGACUGUGGCUGGGGCACAGAGAAAAGUGACAGGCACUCAGCUUUUCCCAGGUGACCAUGUCCAACCCUUCAUAGUUCUAAGAUGAAUAACCUGAGGCCCAGAGAGGCUAUGUGGUUUGCCCUAAAGCACACAGCCAGUAAGUGGUGGAGUGGGAUUCUCAUCUCACUGAAGUUGUUCUCUAAAAAGGGAACACCACUGAAGUACGUUAUAUUAAUACAGAUUUAUCAUAACGGUAGGUGGAAAAAGCAAGUUUCUAAAAAAAUCUUCACUCUGAUCCCAACACUUAAAAACAAUAUGUAUAGUAUAGAAAAAGAUUGCAAGGAUAUACAACUUAAUGAUGGUUGUAUCUCAAUGGCAAGAACAUCUCAAUUUAUUUUCUAUUUUUUAAUUUUUCCUGCACAAUGAGCAAGUAAAUUUUUUUUUCAGGCCAUGUAGGGGAAAGUAACUGACAGCAAGUAAAUCUUUUUAAAGCAGAAAAAAAAAUUUUUUUCAGAAGCAGUUGUGAGGACUAGUGGAUCAAAGUAAUGAGAAUGAAUUACAGUGAGUCAAAGUAAUGAGAAUGAAUUACAGUGAGUCCUUAAUGACAGAGAAAUCUAGCUUCUUAGUAGUUUUGUGAAUUUCAGCAAACCUACUUGGUUUUGCUGAGUCUGUUUCCUAAACACUAAAAAAAGGUGGAUUAUUCGUCGUGUCCUGGGGAACUGUUGCUAGGAUUAACUGAGAAGCAGUGUACACAAAAGUCCCAUGCACAGUACUUGGCAUGGUGCUUAACAAAUAUUAGACCUGACUUUUGGUAGUCAUAGCUUUUCCUUGCUGCCCCAGGAAGGCCUAGCACCUCCAGCUGGUUCAGAUAGCAGAAAGGAACCUGGGCAGGUGCUCGUUACUGGGCCUAGAGCUUUCUGUACAACUGACACAUUCCCCUCCUCUGUUUUGACCAUGUGGAGACUAACAGAAUCUCCUCCUUCAACUCAUUUUCAACUAUUUGCCUCUCCCUCUCCCCUUGUCUCAAUAACCUCAGCUGCCUAAAUGGCAUUCUUUUAGUACAUGUGACGUUAUUUUCAACAUAACACACAUUUGCAAAGCAUCUACUAUAUUCUAAAGAUGGACCCAAGGUCCUCCUCUCCAUUCCUAUCAUGCAGAAAUACUUGUCUGAGUUGUAAUUGAGAUGUUAGAUCCUUCAACAUCUACCAUUAGUUGCCAAACUGCAAUUAUAGAGGCACACACAGUAAGUUAUGGAAACUCCAGGGAGGGGAAGAACUAUGUUCUUACCAGUGUAUGUACACAUGUAUGGAAGAGGACGGGAAGAAUGGAAGUGUUUAAGAGUAAUGAUUUCCUCACUAUAUUAUACAUCAGCUUCAUAUACUGUCAUUACUAAAAUGUGCCCAUUCUGUUAAGCUGGUUUCAGAGCCAGUUAAAUGAAUGACCAAGUAGAGCUGUUUCCUCUCAUCUUCAGAGUUACUAAAGUCUGUCCACAGCCUCAAAGUGUGCAGGGAAGGCUUAGGUCAGCUGAUCUGACAAGUAACAUGUUGUUGCCGAGGUAGGUGGGUAGGGUGCAGGUCCAGGGAAUUACAAACUGGCUCAGAGUGUUCUGCUCAGACAUUUUAGAGCUUUUUGGAAUACAUAGCCAUUCUGAUUAACAGGCAGUUUUAAGACUCAAGGGGUGCCAAAACCUGGCAUUAUUUGAUAUUUUUAUUAGUUACUGGUCAAAUGUUAACAUCAAUGCAAGUAAAAAGAAAUUCAUUCAUAGUUUGGUCCAACUGUUUUUACAUUUCUUUAUUCUCUUCCAGCCCUUGUUGAAAUCCAUAAAUCCAUGGACAUGAUAACUGCAGAUUAAAUACAACUGAAUAUUCUACCUCUUUCUCACACACAGAUGCAUACACAGAGUAAUAUUAAGUGCAGCAAUAUUCAAAACCCAGGCCCUGUGACAACAGCCCCUUCAGGCCUGUAGACUGAUAGUCCCGUAGAAAAUGUUGGCAGGGCAAUGAGACACACCCUGUUCUGCCUGUGUUAUUUAUGCCUCUGGCAGUGAAGCCCCUGACAAAGAAGCAUGUCACUGGAACACACGCUCUUUGUUCACAGAGGUGCAUGCCAGCACCGGCUGCGUAAGAAAGGACAGUGCCGUGUCUGUAGUCUCUCCUCCUUUGGCUCUUUUGCCUUCUAUUUGCAGCACAUUGUGGCUAUGUUUAUUAAUUAAUUUGUAGCUUAAUACUAUAAAACACACAUCUAUCCUGUGAGCUAUGUACCAUGGGAAAGAGUCCUUCAUAUCCUCCAGUUGGCUGUAGAGGACAGAAUCUCAAGAUUUGCCCUGAUGCUAAGGAUGAAUACUACCUCCUCCAAGAGCCGCCAGGUUAUCAAUCUCUAGCACAGAGCUACCACAUUUAAGAUUCCUUCAGCACCCUCCACUGCUUUUCCUGCAAGAGGACACCUGGAUGCUGUUUAGUAUGAAAAUCCCCCUGCAACUGUUCCCAACCUAGGGCACCAAAGCAGCCCCCCCGCCAUCUAUGACUCCACUCUAGCCAGACUGAUGAUGUAGCAGAAAAUGGUGGGCUGUGGAGUCAGACCGAUCUGGGUCUAAAUUCUACUCGCUUCUUGCUGGACAUGCAGCUUAAGGUUACUGAGCCUAAGCUCCUCAUCUGUAAAAUGAUCAAAUUAUCACCUACUUCAGAAAGUUGUCUGAGAGAAAUAAUAUCGAGCUCCCUGGUGGGGCGUGGUGGCUCACGCCUGUAAUCCAAGCACUUUGGAGGCCAAGGCGGGCGGAUCACCUGAGGUGGGGAGUUCAAGACCAGCCUGACCAACAUGGUGAAACCCCAUUUUAAAAAAAUUUAAAAAAAAAAAUUUUUUUUUUUUGAGAUGGAGUUUCCCUCGUUACCCAGGCUGGAGUGCAAUGGCACGAUCUCGGCUCACCGCAACCUCCGCCUCCUGGGUUCAGGCAAUUCUCCUGCCUCAGCCUCCCGAGUAGCUGGGAUUACAGGCACGCGCCACCAUACCCAGCUAAUUUUUUGUAUUUUUAGUAGAGACGGGGUUUCACCCGUUGAGAUGUUGACCAGAUGGUCUCGAUCUCUUGACCUCGUGAUCCAGCCGCCUCCCAAAGUGCUGGGAUUACAGGCUUCAGCCACCGCUCCCGGCCUAAAUUAAAAAUUUUUUUUUAAAAAGCCCCUUGAAGCGGAUGCUCAAUAAUCGCUUGUUGGCUCAUGAACCCGAUUUGGUAGUUUAUGUAAAAGCCCUCAUUGCAUAGCCCUGUGGUCCUCAUAACGUUAGUUACAGACCUCUUGUAACAUCUUGAGAACAUCUGUCUCCAUUUUCCCUUGUCAUAAAGACGUCUGCUGAGACAACAGGAGUCAGGAACUACAUACUAGAAAGUUUUUCUUUUCCCAUAUUCUUUCUAAAACUUUAAUCUUCAAAUGUUAACUCACUCAGUAUUUUUAAAACUGAUAUAUAAUUGGCUUACGACUAAGUUUGGGUGCUUUGCCACUAAAUAAACUUAGGUAAAAUAGAAAGGGGGCACUUUCUUAACUUCCAUAAAACUUUAUGCUAAUGUAUAGAAUUUCAUUUUUCUCUAUUAAAUUCUUAGUUUUUGGUGCUUCUUGUCAGUACAAUCUUCUCGGAUUGUAUUUGAUUUGACACAUUAUGUAUUUACUUAUUUUACGAUGAAUAUAACGUUACUCCUCGGUGGUCUGCAAAGCAGUCACCCAGAACUGGUGCUCUAACCCCUGGGACUCUCUAAGCCAGACCAUGACAAAGGCUGCCUGCCAGGUUUCAACGAAACUUAGACCAAGAAUUUACACACCUCACAGGGGUGCCCUAAGGAAUAAAUGAGAUAAAAAGUCUGCCGGGGAGAGGGAACCCCGAGGCCCUAUUAGAAAUGCUAAUUGUUUCC
ensembl:lncRNA